rnacentral:rRNA from 1 species
CCUACGGGCGGCAGCAGUGGGGAAUAUUGGGCAAUGGGCGCAAGCCUGACCCAGCAACGCCGCGUGAAGGAAGAAGGCUUUCGGGUUGUAAACUUCUUUUCUCAGGGACGAAGCAAGUGACGGUACCUGAGGAAUAAGCCACAGCUAACUACGUGCCAGCAGCCGCGGCAAUACGUAGGUGGCAAGCGUUAUCCGGAUUUACUGGGUGUAAAGGGCGUGUAGGCGGGAAAGCAAGUCAGAUGUGAAAACCAUGGGCUCAACCUGUGGCCUGCAUUUGAAACUGUUUUUCUUGAGUACUGGAGAGGCAGACGGAAUUCCUAGUGUAGCGGUGAAAUGCGUAGAUAUUAGGAGGAACACCAGUGGCGAAGGCGGUCUGCUGGACAGCAACUGACGCUGAGGCGCGAAAGCGUGGGGAGCAAACAGGAUUAGAUACCCCAGUAGUC